CCUACGGGUGGCAGCAGUGGGGAAUAUUGCACAAUGGGGGAAACCCUGAUGCAGCGACGCCGCGUGAGUGAAGAAGUACUUCGUUAUUUAAAGCUCUAUCAGCAGGGAAGAAAAUGACGGUACCUGUGCAAGAAGCCCCGGCUAACUACGUGCCAGCAUCCGCUGUAAUACGUAGGGGGCAAGCGUUAUCCGGAUUGACUGGGUGUAAAGGGAGCGUAGACGGGAGUGCAAGUCUGGAGGGAAAGGCGGGGGCUCAACCCCCGGACUGCUCUGGAAACUGUACGGCUGGAGUGCAGGAGAGGUAAGUGGAAUUCCUGGUGUAGCGGUGAAAUGCGUAGAUAUUAGGAGGAACACCAGUGGCGAAGGCGGCUUACUGGACUGUAACUGACGUUGAGGCUCGAAAGCGUGGGGAGCGAACAGGAUUAGAUACCCCUGUAGUC
rnacentral:rRNA from 1 species